rfam:Taenia asiatica genome assembly, scaffold: TASK_scaffold0001989
GGCCCGGUGGUCUAGGGGUGUGAUUCGCGCUUCGGGUGCGCGAGGUCCCGGGUUCGAAUCCCGGCUGAGCCC